ACACACACACACACACACACACACACUACUGUAUACAGCAUUUACACAUUCUUAAAACAAACAUAGAAAGACAGAAAGAGUCCAACACGCAAACACACAACUCACACUCCAACGAACAUACACAGAAAUAAUUGUUCUGCAAGGCACUGGGUUCACCUUGGACACUUGGAAAAAGGAAAGUGUGCCAAUGCUGGGGAAUCACAGGGUUAAAUUUGAUCUCUAUGAGCAAAUCAGACAGAUACACGCCAGUUUAUUCACACAUGAACGUUGUCUGCAAAAUGAACACACACACAUACACACAGAUUUUCCAGUGUGCAGCUGCUGCCCAGUUCGCAUCUUGCAACAAAAUUC